rnacentral:rRNA from 1 species
GUGAGGAACCUGCCCCGAAGACCGGGACAACACCGGGAAACCGGUGCUAAUACCGGAUACCUUCACCGAAUCGCAUGGUCUGGUGAAGAAAUGGAUUCCGCUUCGGGAUGGCCUCGCGGCCUAUCAGCUUGUUGGUGAGGUAAUGGCUCACCAAGGCGACGACGGGUAGCUGGUCUGAGAGGAUGUCCAGCCACACUGGGACUGAGACACGGCCCAGACUCCUACGGGAGGCAGCAGUUAGGAAUCUUGCGCAAUGGGCGAAAGCCUGACGCAGCGACGCCGCGUGCGGGAUGAAGGCCUUCGGGUUGUAAACCGCUUUCAGCAGGGACGAAAUUGACGGUACCUGCAGAAGAAGCCCCGGCCAACUACGUGCCAGCAGCCGCGGUAAUACGUAGGGGGCAAGCGUUGUCCGGAUUUAUUGGGCGUAAAGAGCUCGUAGGUGGUUUGGUAAGUCGGAUGUGAAAUCUCCAGGCUCAACCCGGAGGGGUCAUUCGAUACUGCCAUGACUAGAGGUCGGUAGGGGAGUGUGGAAUU